CAUACCUCCACCACUAGAGGGUAGUGUUGGCUCUGAUUGGUCACUGACACUAUGAAUGAAGAGAAGGAGAGACUCGAGAAGUUGAGCCGUCAGCUACAGAUGUGAAGCAUCAUCAAAGUGUGCUUCUCCCCUUGAUGCAUCCAUCUACAGUAGACACCACCCUUCAGAAGGAGAUCUGUGUUUGCUCCUGGGAUUACAUUAGCACACCAGAGGCCUGCUAGACUGUCACACUGCACACCACCCAAGAUGACUUGUCGGCUAAAAGAACGUCUGUCCUGUUCAGCCAUCAGCGUCAGCAGAUAGCAAAGGCACAGUACAGGCAA